CUGUUGUCCAAGCAAGAAGCUGUGUGACUGAGUGGAGGAGAGAAGAGAUCUGGAAUUGAAAUCAGGGUGUUUAUGCCCCAGUACCUGCAGCCCUGGUGGGAAGACACAGCUGUCUGUGGACUUGCUUUGUCAGCAUGGCCCUGGCUCUACCGUAAGAGUGUGACUUGAAUCAUUAUCACCAGAACGACCUUCUUCAGGAUUCUUCUCCCAGAUGCAGAAUUAUAGAUGGACAUUCUGCUGUUAUUGUCGUCACCGUCAUCAUCACCAUCAACUGUGUUGUUGCUGUUGAGUGUAUAAAGCAUGCUCCUCCAUUUUCUCAG